rnacentral:rRNA from 1 species
CCUACGGGUGACAGCAGUGAGGAAUAUUGGUCAAUGGACGAGACUCUGAACCAGCCAAGUAGCGUGAAGGAUGACUGCCCUAUGGGUUGUAAACUUCUUUUAUAUGGGAAUAAACUGUUUCACGUGUGGGAUUUUGUAUGUACCAUAUGAAUAAGGAUCGGCUAACUCCGUGCCAGCAGCCGCGGUAAUACGGAGGAUCCGAGCGUUAUCCGGAUUUAUUGGGUUUAAAGGGAGCGGAGGCGGAUUGUUAAGUCAGUUGUGAAAGUUUGCGGCUCAACCGUAACAUUGCAGUGGAAACUGGCAGUCUUGAGUGCAGUAGAGGUGGGCGGAAUUCGUGGUGUAGCGGUGAAAUGCUUAGAUAUCACGAAGAACUCCGAUUGCGAAGGCAGCUCACUGGACUGCAACUGACACUGAGGCUCGAAAGUGUGGGUAUCGAACAGGAUUAGAUACCCGGGUAGUC